AUUGAACGCUGGCGGCAGGCCUAACACAUGCAAGUCGAACGAGUGGCGGACGGGUGAGUAAUGUCUGGGAAACUGCCUGAUGGAGGGGGAUAACUACUGGAAACGGUAGCUAAUACCGCAUACCAUCAGAUGUGCCCAGAUGGGAUUAGCUAGUAGGUGGGGUAACGGCUCACCUAGGCGACGAUCCCUAGCUGGUCUGAGAGGAUGACCAGCCAACCUGGAACGGGGAAACGGUCCAGACUCCUACGGGGGGGAGCAGGGGGGAAAAUUGGACAAUGGGCCCAAGCCUGAUGCAGCCAUGCCGCGUGUAUGAAGAAGGCCUUCGGGUUGUAAAGUACUUUCAGCGGGGAGGCGUUACCCGCAGAAGAAGCACCGGCUAAAUCCGGGCCAGCACCCGCGGUAAUAC
rnacentral:rRNA from 1 species